rnacentral:rRNA from 1 species
GGAUUAGCUAGUUGGUGAGGUAAGGGCUCACCAAGGCGACGAUCCCUAGCUGGUCUGAGAGGAUGAUCAGCCACACUGGAACUGAGACACGGUCCAGACUCCUACGGGAGGCAGCAGUGGGGAAUAUUGCACAAUGGGCGCAAGCCUGAUGCAGCCAUGCCGCGUGUGUGAAGAAGGCCUUCGGGUUGUAAAGCACUUUCAGUCGUGAGGAAGGUAGUGUAGUUAAUAGCUGCAUUAUUUGACGUUAGCGACAGAAGAAGCACCGGCUAACUCCGUGCCAGCAGCCGCGGUAAUACGGAGGGUGCGAGCGUUAAUCGGAAUUACUGGGCGUAAAGCGCAUGCASGUGGUUUGUUAAGUCAGAUGUGAAAGCCCGGGGCUCAACCUCGGAAUAGCAUUUGAAACUGGCAGACUAGAGUACUGUAGAGGGGGGUAGAAUUUCAGGUGUAGCGGUGAAAUGCGUAGAGAUCUGAAGGAAUACCGGUGGCGGAAGGCGGCCCCCCUGGACAGAUACUGACACUCAGAUGCGAAAGCGKGGGGAGCAAACANGGAUUAGAUACCCUGGUAGUCCACGCCGUAAACGAUGUCUACUUGGAGGUUGUGGCCUUGAGCCGUGGCUUUCGGNAGCUAACGCGUUAAGUAGACCGCCUGGGGAGUACGGUCGCAAGAUUAAAA